GACGAACCGAGCGAACGUUAUUCGGAAUCACUGGGCUUAAAGGGCUCGUAGGCGGGCCAUCAAGUCAGGGGUGAAAGCCCCCAGCUCAACUGGGGAAGUGCCUCUGAUACUGGUGGCCUCGAGGGAGGUAGGGGCGUGCGGAACUUCCGGUGGAGCGGUGAAAUGCGUAGAUAUCGGAAGGAACACCGGUGGCGAAAGCGGCGCGCUGGACCUCUUCUGACGCUGAGGAGCGAAAGCCAGGGGAGCGAACGGG
rnacentral:rRNA from 1 species